rnacentral:rRNA from 1 species
CGAAAGCCUGACGGAGCAAUACCGCGUGAGGGAGGAAGGCCUUUGGGUUGUAAACCUCUUUUCUCAGGGAAGAAGAUCUGACGGUACCUGAGGAAUAAGCAUCGGCUAACUCCGUGCCAGCAGCCGCGGUAAUACGGAGGAUGCAAGCGUUAUCCGGAAUUAUUGGGCGUAAAGCGUCCGCAGGUGGUCUUUCAAGUCUGCUGUCAAAGACCAGAGCUUAACUCUGGGCAGGCGGUGGAAACUGAGAGACUAGAGUUCGGUAGGGGUAGCGGGAAUUCCCAGUGUGGCGGUGAAAUGCGUAGAUAUUGGGAAGAACAUCGGUGGCGAAGGCGCGCUACUGGACCGAAACUGACACUCAGGGACGAAAGCUAGGGUAGCGAAAGGGAUUAGAUACCCCUGUAGUCCUAGCUGUAAACGAUG